GGUCCCGUGUGGCGUAGUUGGUAUCGCAUGGUGCUCACAAUGCCAGGGUUGUGGGUUCAAUUCCCAUGUGGGACCA